AUGCAGUUGACGAGUCUCAAGCAGGACGAAACGCUCGUCUUGAAU
rnacentral:hammerhead_ribozyme from 1 species